UUCGCAAUGCCCGAAAGGGUGACGAAGCGACGCCGCGUGGGUGAGGAAGGCCUUCGGGUUGUAAAGCCCUGUCAGGAGUUAAGAAAUAUAAGUGCGCUAAUAUCGCAUUUAUUUGACGAAGGCUCCAAAGGAAGCCACGGCUAACUCUGUGCCAGCAGCCGCGGUAAUACAGAGGUGGCAAGCGUUGUUCGGAAUUAUUGGGCGUAAAGAGCACGUAGGUGGGUUUGUAAGUCAGAUGUGAAAGCCUUCUGUUCAACGGAAGAAUUGCAUCUGAAACUGCGAGUCUUGAGUGUAGGAGGGGAGAAUGGAACUUCUGGUGGAGCGGUGAAAUGCGUAGAUAUCAGAAGGAACGCCGGCGGCGAAAGCGAUUCUCUGGCCUAUUACUGACACUCAGUGUGCGAAAGCUAGGGGAGCAAACGGGAUUAGAUACCCCGGUAGUCCUAGCCGUAAACGAUGGGCACUAAGUAGAGGGGUUUU
rnacentral:rRNA from 1 species